rnacentral:rRNA from 1 species
UACGGGGGAGCAAGCGUUGUUCGGAUUUACUGGGCGUAAAGGGCGCGUAGGCGGUUUGACAAGUCUGAUGUGAAAUCUAUGGGCUCAACCCAUAGCCUGCAUUAGAAACUGUCGGGCUUGAGUAUGGGAGAGGUGAGUGGAAUUUCCGGUGUAGCGGUGAAAUUCGUAGAUAUUGGGAAGAACACCGGUGGCGAAGGCGGCUCACUGGCUCGUAACUGACGCUCAUGCACGACAGCGUGGGGAUCAAACAGG